rnacentral:rRNA from 1 species
CUACGGGAUGCAGCAGUGGGGAAUCUUAGACAAUGGGGGAAACCCUGAUCUAGCCAUGCCGCGUGAGCGACGACGGCCCUAGGGUUGUAAAGCUCUUUCAGCAGGGAAGAUAAUGACGGUACCUGCAGAAGAAGUCCCGGCUAACUCCGUGCCAGCAGCCGCGGUAAUACGGAGGGGACUAGCGUUGUUCGGAAUUACUGGGCGUAAAGCGCGCGUAGGCGGAUUGUUAAGUCGGGGGUGAAAUCCCGGGGCUCAACCCCGGAACUGCCCUCGAUACUGGCAGUCUUGAGUUCGAGAGAGGUGGGUGUAAUUCCGAGUGUAGAGGUGAAAUUCGUAGAUAUUCGGAGGAACACCAGUGGCGAAGGCGGCUCACUGGCUCGAUACUGACGCUGAGGUGCGAAAGCGUGGGGAGCAAACAGGAUUAGAUACCCUUGUAGUC